rnacentral:rRNA from 1 species
CCUACGGGGGGCAGCAGUGAGGAAUAUUGGUCAAUGGACGAGAGUCUGAACCAGCCAAGUAGCGUGAAGGAUGACUGCCCUAUGGGUUGUAAACUUCUUUUAUAAAGGAAUAAAACGAGGCACGUGUGCCUUUUUGCAUGUACUUUAUGAAUAAGGAUCGGCUAACUCCGUGCCAGCAGCCGCGGUAAUACGGAGGAUCCGAGCGUUAUCCGGAUUUAUUGGGUUUAAGGGGAGCGUAGAUGGGUUGUUAAGUCAGUUGUGAAAGUUUGCGGCUCAACCGUAAAAUUGCAAUUGAUAAUGGCAGUCUUGAGUACAGUUGAGGUAGGCGGAAUUCGUGGUGUAGCGGUGAAAGGCUUAGAUAUCACGAAGAACCCCGAUUGCGAAGGCAGCUUACUAAACUGUGACUGACAUUGAUGCUCGAAAGUGUGGGUAUCAAACAGGAUUAGAUACCCGAGUAGUC